GUGCUCGCUUCGGCAGCACGUAUACUAAAACUGGAAGGAUACAGAGAAGAUUAGCACGGCCCCUGCGCAAGGAUGACACGUUCAUGAAGCGUUCCAUAUUUUU